UAAUACGUAGGUGGCGAGCGUUAUCCGGAUUUAUUGGGCGUAAAGUGGGCGCAGGCGGUUCUUCAAGUCGGUCGUAAAAUCUCCCGGCUCAACUGGGAGGGACCGUCCGAUACUGUUGGACUAGAGGGCAACAGAGGAAGGUAGAAUUCCUGGUGUAGUGGUGGAAUGCGUAGAUAUCAGGAGGAAUACCCGUGGCGAAAGCGGCCUUCUGGGUUGUCACUGACGCUGAUGCCCGAAAGCGUGGGGAGCAAACAGGAUUAGAUACCCUGGUAGUCCACGCCAUAAACUAUGGACACUGGGUGCAGGGAGUAUCGACCCUUUCUGUGCCGAAGCUAACGCGUUAAGUGUCCCGUCUGGGAAGUACGGCCGCAAGGCUA
rnacentral:rRNA from 1 species